rnacentral:rRNA from 1 species
UACGUAGGGUGCAAGCGUUUGUCCGGAAUUAUUGGGCGUAAAGAGCUCGUAGGCGGUUUGUCGCGUCUGCUGUGAAAUCUGGGGGGCUCAACCCCCCCAGCCUGCAGUGGGGUACGGGGCAGACUAGAGUGCGGUAGGGGGAGAUUGGAAUUCCUGGUGUAGCGGUGGAAUGCGCAGAUAUCAGGAGGAACACCGAUGGCGAAGGCAGAUCUC